ACGGGUGAGUAAUGUCUGGGAAACUGCCUGAUGGAGGGGGAUAACUACUGGAAACGGUAGCUAAUACCGCAUGACCUCGAAAGAGCGAAGUGGGGGACCUUCGGGCCUCACGCCAUCGGAUGUGCCCAGAUGGGAUUAGCUAGUAGGUGAGGUAAUGGCUCACCUAGGCGACGAUCCCUAGCUGGUCUGAGAGGAUGACCAGCCACACUGGAACUGAGACACGGUCCAGACUCCUACGGGAGGCAGCAGUGGGGAAUAUUGCACAAUGGGCGCAAGCCUGAUGCAGCCAUGCCGCGUGUGUGAAGAAGGCCUUCGGGUUGUAAAGCACUUUCAGCGAGGAGGAAGGGUUCAGUGUUAAUAGCACUGUUCAUUGACGUUACUCGCAGAAGAAGCACCGGCUAACUCCGUGCCAGCAGCCGCGGUAAUACGGAGGGUGCAAGCGUUAAUCGGAAUUACUGGGCGUAAAGCGCACGCAGGCGGUUUGUUAAGUCAGAUGUGAAAUCCCCGAGCUUAACUUGGGAACUGCAUUUGAAACUGGCAAGCUAGAGUCUUGUAGAGGGGGGUAGAAUUCCAGGUGU
rnacentral:rRNA from 1 species